UGCACUAGAUUGGAUUACUGAUUGAUCUUCGACAAGUUCGAUAUCAGUCUAAACAUUUUCGGGUUUGUAUGCAGUUUUGAAUUCACUUUCCUCCUGCAUAAGCAAUGCAACUUCUGAGGACGAGCAAUUUAGUUUUGAGAAGGCCAUAACGUCCAGCUACUCGAUGUAUGACGACAUUCGCCUUGGAAUAUAAAGUAAGCCCAACAUUCAAUUCGAAAUUUAAUUUCUUUCUACCAACAUAUGUAGUCAGGAAAUUAAUAUCUCACUCCAGGGAGAUUUUACAAAGUUAGUGUUAUAAAUUGUUAAAUUACUUGAAGUAGAUGAUCUGGUCAUUUCAGUUCUACUGGAACUUUCUUUUUCACGUGAAUAUCGAGCUCGUAGGGAUCGCUCGCUGCGUUAUGCGUAGUUUGACGUCGGCUUAUGGGUUGCUACUUCCGCUUUUAGUAAUUCCAUCUCAUUAAAAUGUGUUCUGGCAAAUAACCCAAAGUUACUUAACCGCUUUCUAAGUACAUUGAUAUCCUAUAUUUAUCAAUAUGCUUUAACUUUGUCAUGGUGUUCCGCAUUUCGAGCUUUUAGAAAUAACGGAAACCACAUCAGGGUCGCCACCUUCUGCCUCCAAAUUCUUUUAAAUAAAACGACGUGUUCCAUGUGCCCCUGGUCUAUGUUCAGCGAAAAUAACUCGCUUGCUUUGACAUGUGUAUUUAGACUGAAUUUCAAUAAUGGAUUCUGCUGUCCGCCUCAGGAGAAAUAUUUUGUUUCGUGCACUAGUUUCUCUCUCUGCUCAGUGUUGCUUGUGUCCAUAUCCCAGCUCUGGCAGAUCUUUUGGCUAUUCAUAUCUGUCCGGGAUUUUUUGCAGCACUACAACUUGUUUUGUAUCAUAAUUUUUAGUCGUGAUAGCUCCGAAAUUUGCCUCCGAAAACACCUUAAAAUUGGUUCGAAGGAUUUUAUAUGCACCCAAAGUUUAUGUUGCCCACCGUGUGUCAACAAAUUUCAGGGGCUAGACAGCUACUCCCCUGUUUGACUCGGUUUCUAGCACCUCCCUGAAUGCCUUCCCGUACCCAUGUUUCUGGUGUAUAUUCAAAAAGAUGUUUUCUCGGGAUUGGAUCUAGUGGCUGCUUUCAGAUUUUCGUGUCACAAGUACCCAGUUCCAGUAGGCGAUGUAACAUCGGCCUCGAGUGACAUCUAUGAUAGUAGGGAUUUCGUAGGAACAUUAUUCCCAGGAAAUUGAAAACUAAUUUUAAAAUUUAUUUCAAGCUGCGUUAGCAACUCAUUAUUGUUAUUUACAUUGUCCGUGUCAAUUAAUACUUUGAUUUGGCUGCUUAGUUGCGAGAUUAUUUAAUUUGGGAUAUGAAAAUUUUCAGUUUUGAAUCUCUUACAGAACUAAUAAGUGAACAUUAAGUAGUCUAACAGCCUGAUUUAAUUUUCUGGACUUAUUUCUGAGAUCCGAAAAGCGAUAAAUUCACCGAAUAAGUUCCCAGAUUCCUUAUUUGUCAUCCACCUGGUUGGUCUAAUGGUCUCCCUUGUCAGUAAGGGUCCUGUCUCUUGUUUUGGUCUCUGAACCAUGGCGGGUUGCUGCCACGCUGUCAAUCUCAUCUAUGAAGAUAAUGCUGAGAGGAUAAUCUCUUGCCUUGGUGAAAAUAUUCUUCAUAAAUCCUCACACCGGCCCUACCGGUCUGAGUUUAUGUCCGACCCCCGAAUGGUGAAGAACUGUGCCCCAGAGAGUGAAGCUGCUUUGCUCUAGUAAAUUCUUACGCACGCCUGGAAUUCCAAACAGCAAUAUGUUGGAAUUUUAUAUUGCGACCGGGCACAUUGAUUUAUCUAGAUCAAUUUUUGUAAUAAGUUUUACCUGAAUAAUGAUGCACUGUUUUUAUUUUUAGGCUAUAACUACCAUGUUUAGUAAAUGUUAUCUACGAAAUAGGCCUCAUACCUUUAUACAAGCCAUCGGCUUCGGACACUCCAAUACAUAUAGCAGUUUAUACUAUGAUCAAUUUAAUUGGGUUAUUUUAUUUUAUCUGGAAGAUCAUUCAAAAUGACUUAUUUAACACUGAAAAUAAUGAUAUCUUAAAUUCUUUAAUAGUCUUAGUUUUUCCAUGACGUUCAGUAUUUUCCAUUAUAGCAUUUUCCAGGACGCCAUUAAGGUCCAUUCCCUUCAUUCUGUUAGUCAUACAGAAAUCUUUUGCAGGCACCCUGAGUGCACCCUUUCGUACGGAAGUCAAUCGAAUAAUCAUUAUUGUAAAUUGUUUGAUUCGUCAUUUGGUGCUUGUUUCGUCGUUCUUUCCUGUCUGAAAAUAGUUAAGAUUCAGCUACUUAUCAGCAGUUGUCUUUUGCUCCGGGAAUAAUUUUCAUAGGUUUUACUACGAUUCCCAUCGCUUUCACUUGUUAUUCGUUGGCUUGAAUUCUUGAAGCUGCUAUUGGUUAUAUUACAUCAAGGUGAGGUCGAACUUAAGGUUAUGCCGAGGCAAGAUAGGUGUAAUAAUCCCUCUCCAUGUCCCUUUGUUGGGUGACAGUUGAUUAGUGCGCAUGAAAUGUCCUGCGCACACAAACAAAGCAGGUGACUUAUCAGCUACUGGCUUACUGGAAAGCAGAUAAAACUUCUUUCUGAUAUACAUACUUUGAACAUUCUCUGGAUGGGCUUUAGUAUUUUCAUGCAAUUUUGAUGAAGACAUAUGAGUUAAAUAAUGAGGAGCAACAAAUUCUUAUUUUAGAUUAUUUUGCAGUCGUUAGUGUCGGUAUUUCUCUUCAACUAUACUCCCUCGCUUCUCCAGAUAUUAAAAAUAUUAUCAUGUCUCUCUUUCUUCCUUUCUCAAUCUCUGGAUGCAAUAAUAAUAAUAUAACAUUUAAAGCAUCACUCAUCCUGAUUAACACAUACAUCCUAUUUAAUCUAAAGCGCCCUGUAUUAAAAGUAGUCAUAACAAUAUUGUUGCAUUCAUCCCACUAUAAUAAUGGAUAGGUUGUCGUCGAGAAAAGAAUGUGACACCGCUUCAAUUGGAAGAUGACGUCAGGUUGGUAGCCGCCGUUCUUACCCCGUGCUCACAAUACUUUUCCAGACUACUUAGUUGCCACGUGUGACCAAAUCUCGAAAAUGCGACACUGUUGAAACUCAAAUACCCUUACUGUCCUCAAAUAAGUCGUGAUCAAAGCUCAACUUCGAAGACUUUUAUGCCUAUCUUAAGUCCUUUGAUCAUGUCUUCCAAUUCGUGGGAACCGAUGUUAAUUUGUUGUGAAUUGGCUUUCAAUGUCUCCUACGCAAGGGUCCCAAUUAUUUCCUGUGGUUUGAUAUCUGUUGUGCGAAAAAAGGUUUCACAUUGAUGGACUUUUGCCCAGUAUCCCUUUGCCUCUUGUGAAAUUUGGAGAUUAUUUCAUAUUUAAUUUCAUUAUUCUUCUGCAAGACCGAUACUGCAAGACCGAUUGGGUAAUACUCCAUCAUUACUAUUGUAACGACACAUGUCAUAAAACCCAUUUUUCACAAGUCUGAGACACAAUGAAUUAUCUUGUAUGACUGGUUUUCAAAUUUGAGCUUUCAAUUUUUCACAAUUUCCACAUGCUUCUGGGCGUUUUUGUAACAUAAAGCUUUGGUCCGUUUCACACACUGGUUGCGGUACAGCUGUUAUUAAUUUCGUCAUCACUCUCGGGAAUCAUUUCUGGAGAGGAGAUGGGCGUAGAAGAGAGCGGGUGAGUCACACGCGUGGUAGAACGUGGGUUUCACAAAUAGGCGUCUACUUAGGAUUAGUCACGCCAAUUGAUUACGCGAUUAUCGUAGCCUCCACGUUCAAUGUCCAAGGCGUGUAUCAUCCCUGUGCAACCUACUGAUAUCCCCAUCUUUCUAAACAUGUAGCAAGCAUGAAAAUGGUAAUUUCAAAGUUCACAGUUUUUGAUAAUGGGUUUAUUUCAUACGUACUAACUUUUUGACAGCUUGAUUUUUAUACGUAAAUGAUUUUGGAAACCGUUGACUUUUGUACUCUGGAUUCAAGAUACCACACUCAUCACUAGUCGCAUAUGUGUAUAAGUUUGGAAAUUAUCACUAUAUCUUAAAAUCUCGUAAAAUUUCGUGCCAAAUUAGGCACUGCUUCUUGAUAAGCACCUCCAACUCGGCAUUUGAUGAAAUAAGUGCAGAGUAUUCAUGUACUCUAAUUUUACAAAAAUUUAAUAUACCUGUAGAGUUUAAUAUACAUGAAUCAUAAUCGAUUUGGACUAGCUUAUAAACUCAACUAGUCGAGUUUCUUAAUUUGGAAUACAAUUUCCAGUUUCAGUUUCACAAGGGAUACAGUUUCCCCCAUAUCAGUAACAUCAUGUUGAUCGAGAGGGAUGCUUCGUCGGCCUCCAAACCAGGAGUUCAGGAUUAACUCUGGGAUUCUAAGUGAUUGAUCCGGUACCCUCUUUGUGAUUUUAACGGUGACAAAAUAGUCCGUGUCUCGAUUUUCAGAGAGAUGCGGAAAAAACCUCAAAAAGCUUGGUAUAUAAGUUUUCCUAGUCAGCCUAAUCCAAACUUUAUAGUUUCGUUGAGUAAGCGAAGGGUUUAAUUAGCUACGAGUUGUUACAUAAAGAUAAAGUCGCUCUUCAGGAUUUUCAGCUACCAGUUUGGUGGAAGAAGUUCUUUUCCGAGUGAAAGUUUUGUUAGUGUAAUUAUUUUUUAGGCCUGGUGCAGAUCUCUAUUGAAUUGCUGAUUGGAUCAGUAAAUUCAGACACCUAGAUCUGCAUGCUGUAAUUUUUUCUCCAGUAGCCACCACCACAUAUAUAAUGUGCUGUAAUAUGGGUAAAAUGUUAUGGUAACGUUUGACCCAUUGACAUUAGCGUAUCCAUUUCUACGAAUAAAUUGGGGUAACAAUACCGAUAAUUCAUUUUUUCUAUUCAUCAAAAUAGGACGAACAUAUGCUUCCAUUACAUCAUCAGAUAAAAUAUUUUCAUUCUUGACGGAAUCAAGAUGAUCCAUUGUGAUGUACAUGAUAUCUUUGCUUGCAAUGAAUAAUUACAAUAAUAUAUUUCUGAAUAUUGCGACUUUAUACGAAAAGAAGAGAUCCUUUCAUUCCAAUUAUUUGUCUUUGGAUAUGCAAUGCUUACGUGUUUUCACAACUUCACUAUAUCCUUAAGCAGCACUGCAGGUCUCCGUAAGUACAGGUCCAACAGUGGAUAUGGUUUGAUCGUGAUUAUUCACAGUUAUUUCCACGUGAUAGACGAAAUUAUAGAAUUGGAAUUCGGAGAGUACUGAUCCCUCCAGUAACUUUUUUCUAGAAUACCGUUAUUUCCCGUCCAAUACAAUCCAGAACUGAUGUAUCCCAUGCCUCACCUUUUGUUGUCUAAUUUUGUCCCAAGUUAAGAUCGUCGGUUUAUGACGGUUAAUGUAAUGUAUGACGAUCAACACAGGGAAUAAGAAAUGAUGCAAAGAACAAAGUAGGUUCAAUACACGUGCAAACAUUUGUAAUACACAUGCAACCAAGGUAAAACUAAGUUUUGUAAACCCGUUUCUACCCAUUUUUCUAGGAAAAUACACGUGCAACGGAGAAUGUUGAAUUUUUGCAUUUCUGUCGUUUUAGGCGUGCGUUCUCGCUUCCUUGUUCUACCGAAAGUGUUCCCCUUGGCCUUAAACCUUGUUACGGAGGGUCGGCGGACACCUAGUUGUCCUAAAGGUAAAAAAUCUCAUCCAACUCUCGUCCGGCUGGAAGAGAUCCCAAAAUAGCAGCCACAUUUCCACGCUGCACUCGGACUGCACUGCUUCGGUUUUGGCGUUAUAUUUAUACAUAUGUACUUUAUGAACGUCUCCCUAUGAUACAUACCCGUAAACAACACACAUACAUAGUUUUAAUUUAAACUACGAAAUGGAAUGCCUACUAGCCUUAGAUGUAAUAUACGUAGGUGUUUUAUUAUUGAUUUUCAAAAGGUAUGUUCCGCACUGUUUCUGACCAAAGUUUUGAUGAAAUAAUAAACUUCGAAUACAUUUA